GUAUGGAAAGCAAGAGAAUUGCUCACAUGAAGAAAUUGACUCAUAUACACUUCCUUCAUGGCUGAGUUCUGAUAUGAUCAUGAGAUUCAGAGAGUGCACUGGGAUUAAAAUUCAUUAAAUUAAUAAAUAUUGUGCGUUUUUAUAUUUUGAGGAACAGCUCUUAAUUCUGUUUUCAGGUGUCAAUAUUCUAUCUAAUGCUACAUCAACCAGUUUAGUUUGUAAGCAAUUCUGUUAGAAAGUAUUGGCUGAAGUUUUGUACCCUUUCUAUUUCUGCUUUAUGAAAAAAACAUUUGUAAAUCUAUUUCCUAAUCUUUCUCAGAUUAUGUUUGUGUUCAGAUAAAUUUCAUAGUUUAGAAAAUAAUUUUAUAGAAUAAUUUUAAUGAGAUAUUAGUUUGGCCUUUUUUGUUGUUGUUGUUGUUUUGGUUUGAUUUUUGUUGUUUUUUUUUUGUUUUGUUUUUUACUGUGGUAUGGAAAGAAAGCUAUGGAAAAGAAGAAAAUUAAAAAGAAAGCUAUGGAAAGGAAGAAGCUGUGCUAAAUCUGGCCAUUUUUGGAAAUUUUACCUGUGAAACAAGACUGACAAAAUUCUUUCUCUUUCAUCACCACGGCCUCCACUGCGUUAGGAUGACAAACUACAUAAAAGACUUUUCUCCAUAUUCUCUGUAGUUAACAUUUUCUCUAAAGAGUAAUUGCUAACCACAACCAUAGUGAUUUGUAAGGUGGUUCUUAGAUGUUUUCAAACACAGCCAUUUUUGGUUUUCAUUUCUGCUCAUAGAAGAAAUAUUGAAUUGCACGUGCUUCUUGUUUAUGAUUGGUAUUGAAAAUUAUAACUGUAAGUGAUGAUGGUAUUUUAUCCUUCAAAUAUUCUAUGGAAAAAUGUUUUUUAAGUACCUCAAGUCAAUUGUGAGAGAAAUCCAUUUGGGUUAAAUAUAGGCAUGUUUGCACCUUAAACAAAAUGAAUUGAAAUGAUUUGUCAUAUUGUCAUUCAUUAAAUGGGAUACUUAAAUCAAUAAGAGGCGAAAAAAAACAACCAACCAACC
ensembl:lncRNA